rnacentral:rRNA from 1 species
UACGGAGGGGGCUAGCGUUGUUCGGAAUUACUGGGCGUAAAGAGCGCGUAGGCGGCUUACCAAGUUGGGGGUGAAAUCCCGGAGCUCAACUCCGGAACUGCCUUCAAAACUGGUAGGCUAGAGUCCGGAAGAGGGGCGUGGAAUUCCCAGUGUAGAGGUGAAAUUCGUAGAUAUUGGGAAGAACACCGGUGGCGAAGGCGGCGCCCUGGUCCGGUACUGACGCUGAGGCGUGAAAGCGUGGGGAGCAAACAGG